UUGAAAAAAAGCUUAUUUUUCAGGCUAGAUCAGUGCGCAUACGCAGUCCUGAGAAACACAUUCCAGCAGCAUUCUGUAAUGUUUACAGAACCCCAGACAUUUUGACCUUCUGAGACGGAAAUACUGCCUGGAACUAAGGCAAAAUAUUGCAGAAAACAUUGGUGCUAAACUGGAAUUAGCAUGGGAAAGUAAGUGCCUGGAGCAUGAUAAGAACAUGAGAUCAAUGGACCAACUCUAGAAGUAAUCUCAGAAAGAAUGGCAGAAUGACUAAUACCUGUUACCAGAAAGCAAACAAUCUUUAUAAACGUGCUUGAUCAACUUAAAGAGAGCGCUACACAUGGGCCUUUGCCAGAACAUGUAGGUUUGACCAGCCCCCAAGUAGGUCAAUUUUCAGGUUUUUCCUUUCGUCCAAUACUGAAAGAUGCAAUAGUGAGAGGAGAUCUCGUUCUCAGAUGUUCCAAAAGUUGUGUGUUUACCCUGGAUGCCGUAACCUAUAUUCAGGAAGAUUGACUUUUCAUAGAUUCUCAACGUUGUUCUAAGGAAGAAAAAAAAGUCACCUACAUCUUGGAUGGCCUGAGGGCUACUUAUCAUCUUUAAAACAAGGAAUGAUUUAUUUCGGAUCAUCUGAUGUGCAUUUAAUGAUGACACCAGCUUAUAACUGAAGUCUUUUUACUGG